UUGGCGCCCCAUGUCACCUGUCAGUCGAGCUCCGGCCGUCAUGUGAGAGCCAAUGAAAUCACUCCUCGCUACCAAGAAUUCUACCAAGAAUUGACCAAUCGGGUGGCGCCCCACUACCAAGAAUUGCGAGAACCAAUCACCGCUCGUCAUGGGCUACCAAGAUUUGACCAAUCGCAAUCGGUAUCGCUACCAAGAUUUGAGAGACGCUAUUUCGUCCAGACCGUCAUCUUUUGCUGCAUUUUACAGUAAGUUCCGUGCCACUCUAACGUUUCAAAGUGUUUAUAUCACAUUGUUAUAUAUGUUUAUUAUACAAAUAAAAGUAUACUCUGGUGCCAGUUAGCUAGCACACCCGGUAACGUUAAUGAUGAACGUUUCAUUUAUUUGCGUUGCAUGUAACCUAGCUGACAGUGACAACAUACGAACGACUGUAACAUUAACAGACGGACAAUUCUCCAUUUUUUUUAGCUUUUUCACCUACCGAUAAUGACUGUAAUUUAUUUCAGUACGCUUACAACGGUCACAACUGUAUGCUUGUUUGCAUAGGAAAUCGUGUAACGCGACUACACUGUUAAUAACGGGCUGGCGACUUAUCUUACAGUUUACCAACGUAAUAUUUGCUUUAAUUACUUAUUUAGAUCAAAAAGAGGCCAAAACAGAUAUGUAUAGAUAAGUCAAUAUAGUUUGAGUGUUAUGAUAACUUAUUAUAUUCUGUAUUAAAGUAUACAAACAGCUAAGAAUUGCAUUAUUACAUUAAGAAAGAAGAUAAAGCAUUUAAAAUAUAAUAUAUAAUAUAAGAAACAUAUAUUUUUAAGACAGAUACUCUGUUAAAGUUGGAAUGAUUUUGUAUUCAGACACAUUGAUCUUUUAAUUUUAUUUAUAUGUGCUUGAAUCUUCACUGAUAUGUUUAUAAGAGAUUGAUCAAUAAAGUUUUGAAUAGAUAUACACUUUAUCUAUGAAGAAUAAAUCACAUUGUCAUUUCAUGAGAAGAGGUAACAAAUAUUUUAUUCCAACUUUAUGGGCAACAGUGAAUACACAAACAUACAUUCAUGUCCCCACACAUUCAUAUAUGCAUAGGCCUACUUCUACUUUCACACAUAUGCAUGCUUGCAUCUAUGCAUUACUGAAGAAGACUGAGUGAAAAUUCUAUAAAUGUAUUUGCAGUAAGAGAUCAGACCAAGCUUAUUUUAACUGUUGUUUGUUUUCCAACCAUAGAGAAUGGAUCCUAAAUUUAGGAAGAGGGCUGAGAAUGCGCUGGGCUAUGCUGGAUAUGUGGUGGCAUCAAUGUCGGAGGAAUCAGGAAGCUCUGAUUCAACCUCGUCAAUAAAAGAGCCUUGCUGAAGUAUAUUUCGCUGUAUCCGGAGGGACGUUAUGCCAUUCAGUUCAAGAUGGAGGCGAGAUCCACAAGUCAGCGUAAACCAGCCACCUCCACACAGGCCUCCACCUCAUCACAGCCCUCCACCUCACCGCGACCAUCCUCAGUGCCUGUAUCCUCCCUGCGGUCAUUGUUGACAGGGAAAGGUGUGUCCCAGCAGAGCAUCCACAAGUCUGUCAAGAGGCUGUUUAUGCCACCAAAGUUUCAUCCAUCAGCUGUACCUGUGUGCCCCCCAGUUUGUGAGGACAGUGGGAGACCUGCUGGAUCUAAUCCCAGCCUUGGUCCCCAGCUUCAAACCGACACUCCUCAGACCUCUCAGGAUGUGGAAAUGCUCUGCACUCAUCAAGCUCCCCAGCAAGAUGCUCCUAGUGUGGCAGAGGAACAGCCUUCAACAUCAUCAUGCUCCACCAGUCAUGAUGACUCUGUUGGACCAGACAACAUUGAGGGCUUCCAAGCUGUCCAGGACUUGACGGGACACUUAUUUACAUUAAAAGACCACAGUCUAUCAAGACACAAUCUCUAAAGGGAGAUUCAGGGCCACAAAAAAAAAUGUUGCACCUGGUGUAGAGAGUACAAAGCGAUGCUUUGCAGGAGGGAAAAGCCCAGCACAGUGGCCUGACUGCAAUCGUGUGUGUGAGGCACUUUUUAUUCAACUUUGCGAGGAGUAUCGUGGACCCAGGCGCAUUGAUGGAGUCAGGAAAGAGCGUUGGAGCCUUGUCACCAAAGCAUAUCUUCACAUCCGCCAAGUCAUUCUAAAUAAUGCCAUGGUGAUGGAGAAGACCACCAUCCAGCUCCCGGUGAUGAAUACUGCAACCAUCGCUAGUUGGUACAAUAAACUUCAGAAAAAGCAGGAGAAGAGCAUGCUGGAGCAAGGCCUGUCUAUUCCAAAGAACACUAAUGUGAGCCCAGAGAGCUUGCCUCUUGCAGUUGUGAGGAAAGACAGGCCCUGUGUCCCGACCAGCAGUGUGGCAAAUCCCCACAUCUUUGUCCUGCCCUCUAACACGGCAGGGACCGCGCAGCUGAAACAGCGACGGAACCUGCCAGUGACUCCAUCUGCAAUUCGGCCACCAUUCCUUGCAGCUCUCGAUCAACCUCUUCAUCCUCCCCAGCCUGUACCACAACCUCUCCUGCUUGCACCACAACCUCUCCUGCUUGCACCACAACCUCUCCUGCCUGCACCGCAACCUCUCCUGCUUGCACCACAACCUCUCCUGCCUGCACCACAAGCAGUACUUCGGAAAUUGGUACUGCCAAGCCACAGCCACUACAACUCUGGCUGAGUGGAAGGCCUCAUUUGAAGCCCGGGGUUAUGGCAAAAGGAAAGAUGCACCACCACAGUAAUUUUGUAUUUGUAUUGUAUUGUAUUUGUCUUCACUUAUCUAAUAUUAUAUAUAUUCUAUUCUAGUUUGUUGU